rnacentral:rRNA from 1 species
CCUACGGGUGGCAGCAGUGAGGAAGAUUGGUCAAUGGCCGUAAGGCUGAACCAGCCAAGUCGCGUGAAGGAAGAAGGAUCGAUGGUUUGUAAACUUCUUUUAUAGGGGAAUAAAGGUAGACAAGUGUGGAUAUUUGCAUGGACCCUAUGAAUAAGCAUCGGCUAACGCCGUGCCAGCAGCCGCGGUAAUACGGAGGAGGCGAGCGUUAUCCGGAUUUAUUUGGUUUAAAGGGUGCGUAGGUUUUUUUUUAAGUCAGCGGUGAACGUUUGGGGCUCAACCCUAACAUUGCCGUUGAAACUGGAAGUCUUGAGUGUGUUUGAGGUAGGCGGAUUGCGUUGUGUAGCGGUGA